UACGUAGGGGGCGAGCGUUGUCCGGAUUUAUUGGGCGUAAAGAGCUCAUAGGCGGCUUGUCGCGUCGAAUGUGAAAUCUCAGGGCUCAACUCUGACAUUGCAUUCGAUACGGGCAGGCUAGAGUUCGGUAGGGGAGACUGGAAUUCCUGGUGUAGCGGUGAAAUGCGCAGAUAUCAGGAGGAACACCGGUGGCGAAGGCGGGUCUCUGGGCCGAUACUGACGCUGAGGAGCGAAAGCGUGGGGAGCGAACAGG
rnacentral:rRNA from 1 species